AAAGCUGCCUUGACUCUCCAAAGAUUCCCAUGUUUAGAUGAGGAAUAUAUGCAACCCACAAUGCUACUACAUGAGCUACCAACCCAGGAAAGAAAUAGAGGGACGCCCUAAACAGUAGGAAUGCAACCGACAGUACAAGGUAAGGUUCACUCCAGAGCAAUUCCCUUAAAGAGGACCCUUUCCAUUGCUGAAAAGCUUUGUGACCAUCUGCCUUGUAAGUAAUUUGAUGUUCAGUCACUUCUAUCACAGGAUCAAGCCCUGAAUAUAAGCAUAAAUUUGUGAAUUCAAUACCAUUAAGUUGAAAAUGAGAAAGUGUAAAGCACUGAUUUGUUGCAUUCCAUAAAAAUAAGUAUUUCUAUUACUAAUAUAGCAUAUGGCUGCACAGUUAAACCCUGUAUAUAUGCCAAAGUAGCACUAAGGGACGCCCUAAACAGUAGGAAUGCAACUGACAGUACAAGGUAAGGUUCACUCAAGAGCAAUUCCCUUAAAGAGGACCCUUUCCAUUGCUGAAAAGCUUUGUGACCAUCUGCCUUAUAAGUAAUUUGAUGUUCAGUCACUUCUAUCACAGGAUCAAGCCCUGAAUAUAAGCAUAAAUUUGUGAAUUCAAUACCAUUAAGUUGAAAAUGAGAAAGUGUAAAGCACUGAUUUGUUGCAUUCCAUAAAAAUAAGUAUUUCUAUUACUAAUAUAGCAUAUGGCUGCACAGUUAAACCCUGUAUAUAUGCCAAAGUAGCACUUCAAAUUUUUAGACUUUACUAAAUAAAGCAGUCAUUUUUGGGGGCAGGUGGGCCCUUACUGGUGUUCAGUAGACAAGCUACAGCGAAUUUUCUGGGCAUUUUAGCAGUCUCAUAUUAAGGAAUGUCCAUCCGUGGAACUCCCAAGGAUACCAAAUCUCACUUCUAUGCAUCAGUUUGAUUGGGAUGUGGAUAUAUACUUGGUCUUUGCUGACUUAUUUCAUCCUAACUUAAUUCUUGUUCUUUCUGUUAUGUAAACAUGCAACAAAUAAUUGCAGGCAUGCCUUUUGCUAAUCUACAGUCAGCUUAGCAGCUAAUGUGUAGCUCAUCUAGUUCUCCAGUAUCUUAAAGGUUGAUCCUCCAGAUGCCUACAAGCUACAGCCACUUGAUUACUUUUACCUAAUUAUAG
rnacentral:lncRNA from 1 species